GAUGAACGCUGGCGGCGUGCUUAACACAUGCAAGUCGAACGAUGAAGCUCAGCUUGCUGGGUGGAUUAGUGGCGAACGGGUGAGUAACACGUGAGUAACCUGCCCUUUACUCUGGGAUAAGCCUGGGAAACUAGGUCUAAUACCGGAUAGGAGCGCCUACCGCAUGGUGGGUGUUGGAAAGAUUUAUCGGUUUUGGAUGGACUCGCGGCCUAUCAGCUUGUUGGUGAGGUAAUGGCUCACCAAGGCGACGACGGGUAGCCGGCCUGAGAGGGUGACCGGCCACACUGGGACUGAGACACGGCCCAGACUCCUACGGGAGGCAGCAGUGGGGAAUAUUGCACAAUGGGCGAAAGCCUGAUGCAGCGACGCCGCGUGAGGGAUGACGGCCUUCGGGUUGUAAACCUCUUUCAGUAGGGAAGAAGCGAAAGUGACGGUACCUGCAGAAGAAGCACCGGCUAACUACGUG
rnacentral:rRNA from 1 species